rnacentral:miRNA from 1 species
AUAGGGCUGGGAUGUAACUCAGUGGUACAGUGCUUGCCUAUCAUGUACAAGGCCCUAGGUUCAAUCCCCAGUACCACAAAAAUGAGUUUUAAUUAAA